AACGAACGCUGGCGGCGUGGAUUAGGCAUGCAAGUCGAGCGAGAAACGGGGAGCAAUCCCGUGGACAGCGGCGAACUGGUGAGUAACAGGUGGGCAAUGUGCCCCAAAGUGGGGGAUAACUCCGAGAAAUCGGGGCUAAUACCGCAUGUGGUGUCAUAGGCUUCGGCUCGUGACAUUAAAGCAGUGAUGCGCUUUGGGAUCGGCCCGCCCCGGAUUAGUCUAGUUGGUGAGGUAAUAGGCUCACCAAGGCAACGAUCCGUAGCUGGUCUGAGAGGAUGGUCAGCCACACUGGAACUGAGAUACGGUCC
rnacentral:rRNA from 1 species